UACGAAGGGUGCAAACGUUGCUCGGAAUUAUUGGGCGUAAAGCGCACGUAGGCGGUCCUGUAAGUCAAAUGUGAAAUCCCUCGGCUUAACCGAGGAAGUGCAUCUGAAACUGCGGGACUUGAGUAUGGAAGAGGGUCGCAGAAUUCCCGGUGUAGAGGUGAAAUUCGUAGAUAUUGGGAGGAACACCAGAGGCGAAGGCGGCGACCUGGAAGGUAACUGACACUGAGCAGCGACAGCGUGGGGAGCAAACAGG
rnacentral:rRNA from 1 species